GAGAAGGGAGGCCGCAGAAUAGGGUUCGACCUUGAUUACGACGAAAAGGACAGCAGUUAUAACCGUAUCAAGAGUUUGGUGACAGAGGAACUGAAACAAUACUUCAGGCCCGAGUUUUUGAACAGGUUGGAUGAGAUGAUUGUGUUCCGUCAACUCACGAAACUGGAGGUGAAGGAGAUUGCGGAUAUAAUGUUGAAGGAGGUAUUUGAUAGACUAAAAGGAAAAGAAAUUGAUCUUCAAGUUACAGAGAGAUUCAGAGAUAGGGUAGUUGAGGAAGGAUACAACCCAAGCUAUGGUGCAAGACCGUUGAGAAGGGCAAUCAUGAGACUUCUGGAGGACAGCAUGGCUGAGAAGAUGCUGGCAAGGGAGAUCAAGGAGGGUGACUCUGUAAUUGUGGAUGUUGAUUCUGAUGGAAACGUGACAGUGCUCAACGGCGGAGCCACUCCUGAGUCUUUGGCUGAUGCUAUUCCUGUGUAACCUGUAAAGGUAUGCGCCCAUUUUAUUUGAUAGAGAGAAUAAUAACGAUCUUAUUGUUUACAAGUUACAAAAUGAAAUGUAUUUCCAUCCUUAUUUAAUGGGUUGUACUUGUAUAGUCUAUUUUUAACUAGAUGGAUGGGGCAGCUGGUUUA
rnacentral:misc_RNA from 1 species